rnacentral:lncRNA from 1 species
GCAAUUCUCCUGCCUCAGCCUUCCGGGUAGUUGGUAUUGCAGGCGUGCACCACCACACCUGGCUCAGAAUUUGAUUAAAUUUUCAUGCCCUUUCUUAAUGAAUAUACAUAUCCCAGUGCAGGCCUUAAUUUUUUUUCUUUUUGGUAGAACUCGCCAUAGAAUCUUGUAGAAUGGUAAUUACACAAACCAAGCGCUGCAGGUUGACCCCAAAUUUUCAGUGGGUAUUGAAGGAGGCUAAUUUCCAGUUCUUUUUAUAUAUGCAAAUUGUAUUCACAAAGAAUCACAACCCGGGGCUAGGUUGUGGCUCAGUGGUAGCAUGCUUGCCUAGCAUGCAUGAGGCACUGGGUUCAAUCCUCAGCACUCAUAAAAAUAAAGACAAUAAAGUCCAUCAACAACUAAAAAGAUACUAUUAAAAAAAAAAAAAACAACUAAAAAGAUAUUAAAAAAAAUAAACACAAACCCAAAUACCUUCCUGCCCACUGUUUACAGUGUUCAAGGGCAGAGAUUCUGGUUCUGAUCAUGGCUUUCCUGUUGGCAUGUUGGAGACUGAUCCUCAGACUCCUCCUCUGUAAAAGGGGAGCUUACAGUCUUUACAUUAUGAGGCCCUUUCGAAGAUUACAUGAAAUGUAAUAGUAUUUGAUUCAUGGGUGGGUAGCCCAGCAAAUGGUAGUUGUUAAUAUUGUUUCCAGAUAAGUGAGGAACCUAUCAGAUUUUCUGAGUAUUUGGCUAUUUAAGGAUAUACAUAUCUCGAGUUCAGUGAAUGAACUUUUCCCAUAAUGCUGGAAAGGUUUCAUUUCCCAAUGCAUUUAAUCCCAGAAGCUUAUUGUUCCUGAAAAUGGC